rnacentral:rRNA from 1 species
AGAGUUUGAUCCUGGCUCAGAGCGAACGCUGGCGGCAGGCCUAACACAUGCAAGUCGAGCGGGCACCUUCGGGUGUCAGCGGCAGACGGGAGAGUAACACGUGGGAACGUGCCCUUUGGUUCGGAACAACCCAGGGAAACUUGGGCUAAUACCGGAUAAGCCCUUACGGGGAAAGAUUUAUCGCCAAAGGAUCGGCCCGCGUCUGAUUAGCUAGUUGGUGGGGUAAUGGCUCACCAAGGCGACGAUCAGUAGCUGGUCUGAGAGGAUGAUCAGCCUCACUGGGACUGAGACACGGCCCAGACUCCUACGGGAGGCAGCAGUGGGGAAUAUUGGACAAUGGGCGCAAGCCUGAUCCAGCCAUGCCGCGUGGGUGAUGAAGGCCCUAGGGUUGUAAAGCCCUUUCGGCGGGGAAGAUAAUGACGGUACCCGCAGAAGAAGCCCCGGCUACUCGUGCCAGCAGCCGCGGUA